UAUUUAUUGAUAAUACCAAAUAAAUAUCUAUAGAAAAAGCCUUCUCCAGUGCGGAAGCAUGGUGAAAUGAGAAAGAAUAUUAGGUAAUUGGAAAAUUACCCAGCUAUUUGAUGGACUAAUCUUUUCCGAAAGAGGAAAUUCUUGACGUGAGAAUUCUGGCUGGGGCUGUGAAAUAACGUGCGAAUCAAAAUCUGGAGAAAAAAAAAUCAGCAACCACGAAGACCAAAAAGACAGAGGACAUACUUGGUAGAGAAGUCUGAAUCCAAAACCGCUUAACUGCUGUCACAGUCUCUCACUAAAUGUCAACUCAGCACCUUCUGCUGCUCUUAUCAUUGACAUCUGCAGAUUCUGAGACGGGUGACAAUAGAACAGCAAGUGACAAACCAAGUACCAUGGGACAAGAAGAAAGGGCACAUUACCCACAGGCAAGUUGGAGAGUUUUUCCAGAUGGGAUUUCACUGGUCUAUAAUAAAUGUUCCAGUCGUAAAAGGAGAGAGUCUCCGUGCUUAAAGAAACACAGGAAUAAAUAGUGACCUAAGCAAAAAGAGAAAGAAAAACAUAGCUCUUUGGUGCAAAUUAAAAAAAAAUACUGCAUGUAACACACCGUUGCUCCUCCUUAGCUAGGUGGCAUGAACAGACUCUGCUUCUAGAAAACUGGUUGUUGCAUAGGUGUGCGUCCACAUAGUGGCAGCUAUUUGAAUCCUGUUUUAUUUUUUAAAAAAUUAAUUAAAUGUUCUGACUUGAGAUCCUGAAGCCUUCUGUCUUCGGAGAAGGUACUUUAUGAGAACAGCACAGCCCUCACUUCCCACCGCAGCCUGCUAAUAGGCUCAACCCUGAAUUGGAGGGGCCAUUUCAAGGCUCCAGAGUCAGAGCUGGUUGGAAAAUGGCAAUUAUUUUUCCACAAGAAAUUUCCAUUUUUUAAAAAUUUUGUCC